UACGAAGGGGGCUAGCGUUGCUCGGAAUCACUGGGCGUAAAGCGCGUGUAGGCGGUCCGGUAAGUCGGUUGUGAAAGUCCAGGGCUCAACCCUGGGAUGCCGACCGAUACUGUCGGACUAGAGUUCGGAAGAGGCGAGUGGAAUUCCCGGUGUAGCGGUGAAAUGCGCAGAUAUCGGGAGGAACACCAAUGGCGAAGGCAGCUCGCUGGGACGUUACUGACGCUGAGACGCGAAAGCGUGGGGAGCAAACAGG
rnacentral:rRNA from 1 species